UACAGAGGUCUCAAGCGUUGUUCGGAAUCACUGGGCGUAAAGGGUGCGUAGGCUGCGGAGUAAGUCGGAUGUGAAAUUUGGGGGCUCAACCCCCAACUUGCAUCUGAUACUGCUUCGCUAGAGACCUGGAGAGGAGUUUGGAAUUCUCGGUGUAGCAGUGAAAUGCGUAGAUUUCGAGAAGAACGCUCGCAGCGAAGGCGAAACUCUGGACAGCGUCUGACGCUGAGGCACGAAGGCUAGGGGAGCAAACGGG
rnacentral:rRNA from 1 species